UGGGUUGUGGUUCAGUGGUAGAAUGCUUGCCUACCAUGCAUGAGGUACUGGGUUUGAUCCUCAGCACCACAA
rnacentral:tRNA from 1 species